AUGUGCACGCAGGGCCCUGGGAAGGAAGGCACGCUCGGCCCCGCCCGGGACAAACGCGAAGGGCACCGGUGCGGCCGCCAGCCCGAUCUUUACUCGCCCCCCGCACGCCUUCAGUCUCCCGGAGACCCACGGAGAAAGGGCCGAGGCCCCAGAGCUCCGGGGUGCCCGCGGCGGCCGCAGUGGCAGGACGCUCCGUCCGCCCGGCCCAAGAGCAGGCGCCAGGACCCCUGGGCGGCGCAAGCAGGCGAGCCCCGGACCGCGGCGCGCCACACUCACCGCCUCUCCAUGGCCCGGGGGUCGUCACUCAGCCGAGAGCCUCGUCCUCAGCGGGGCUCCGCCGCGAAGCCUCGCACUCCCGAGGGGGCUGCGGUCUCAGCGGCCGGGGCUGAGGCCCAGCACCUCUCCAGCCGCUUCAGCUACGCGGGUCCGGGGAAGCGCGGGCGAGCGCGGCCGGGGGCGCAGCUUACGGCGGGACGACCGAGGCGAUGCAGGCGGACGGGCUCGGCGAAGCCUCGGGCGCCGCCGCGGUGGCCGCUUCAGCCGCCCGCGCCGCUGGGUCACAGCGCCCCCUGGACCCCACGUCCCGCUACGGCGCCGGGACUGCGGCGGCCGCACCGGGCACGAGCGGCAGGGAACGCGAGGCAGCGCGACCUGGGGGUGGCGGGGCCCCGUGCGCCCUGCGCCGCCCGUCCGUCCGUCCGCCUGCGGCCCGCGGCCCGCCCCUGACGCGGCUUCCCGGGAGCCGGAAGCUGUCGGUUCCCCCACCCCCACCCCACCCCCGUCAGACCCCAGCACCUUUUUCUUCCCUCCAGAAGGUAUGUGGAUGCUUUCGUCACUCGUCUCCGAGAGCGGGAAUGUGAGGGAAUCUCGGUUCAUUGUGGAGACAGGGGGGGUCCCUUUUAAUCCCCUCAGUGCGUCAGUAUGAAAGGAGAGUGACCCAGAACAAAUCGCUUUUUUCUUUUCCUAAGCACAUGCACAAUCCCUUCCCAAAACAGAUAAAGGAAUAAUCUUUGACCUCAACUUUUUUGGAGAGCUACUGUGCAGAUUCACUACAGAAAUUUGCUAUAGAAUCCCUUAACCCCUAUCCUCACUUACAAAAUAGAGGGGAGAAAACAAAAACAAAACAAAACAAAACAAACAAACAAAAAAGGCUGACAAAGAGAAGAAUAACCAACGGGUUGUCCUGAAACUGAUAAACAACUUAAAGGUAAGAAAAGAAUCAUCCUUUUACUAACUUAACGCUGGCCACCACCUCUACCACUUCUGUGUCAUCCACCCCUUAUCAAGUCCUAGGUAAAACUGAAAGGAGGAAGUUGUGGUUAUAUUAAAGGCUAUGCAGUCAUUUUGUUUACAAAUGCCUCCUGUUUGAUC